rnacentral:rRNA from 1 species
ACGGUCCUACGGGGGGCAGCAGUGAGGAAUAUUGGUCAAUGGUCGGUAGACUGAACCAGCCAAGCCGCGUGAGGGAUGAAGGUACAGAGUAUCGUAAACCUCUUUUGUCAGGGAACAAAGGCGGGGACGUGUCCCCGGAUGGGUGUACCUGAAGAAAAAGCAUCGGCUAACUCCGUGCCAGCAGCCGCGGUAAUACGGAGGAUGGAGGCGUUAUCCGGCUUUAUUGGGGUUAAAGGGUG